CUUGUAAACGAAAUAUUUGGAAACAAAUAUUGUUCUAACCUCUAUGUCAGCCAUUAUUUUGUUGUCUAUUCUUUUUACUCUACAUCCAAUCCUGGUUAUAGCAUAUGAGUGGUGCACUUUUGCUUUUGCUAUUCAUCGUUUUCUCUGCAUCAUGAAUAAUUUCAGGUAUUUCUGUCUUUACAUAUGUACAUAUUUUGCAUAUCAGUUUUUUUUCCUGCCCAUUUAAAACUCAAAUGUGAGUAAAACAAUUGCUUCUUGUAAAUCUUGGACAUAAUAUCCCUUCCAGAUGUAUUCAUUUUAUGAUCAUAUGGUUCAUCAGCUUAUGGAGGUUCUUCUGUUUCAUGACUUCCCAUGAUAGAAUUUCUAGUCUACUAAUUCUUCAAGCUGUUUGUUACCUCAUUGGAUCCACAAGACUUUUAUGCAUUCCCCACAAGGAGACAUCCUUAGUUGUCAGUGAAACUAGACCUUUUUGGAAUUGCUGAACCAUUUAUUCACUUCUGAAUUAUUGUUACCUAUGACAAUUAUUUAUGUUGCAUAUUCUGAUAAUUGUUGAUGUUGACCUAUAGAAGCUUCAAUUGUUUUUUAUUUUCACAUGCAGGAAAAUAUUUGUUGCUUGCCACACCUAGUGCCGUUACCCUUUUCCAGUCUACUGAUUCUCAUAAUAAUGUUUUUAUCCGGGAUCAGCUAGAUAAUGAUUCAGGGCCAAAGCCCAACAAAAACUCAGUUUAAUAUGGACAUAGUCUAUAUUCCACGGAAUGGCGAUUAAGUGUAACAUGCUAAGAAGUGAACAACCCAAAGAGAAGUGGGCCUACAUUAAAUGAGACAUGUCUUGGUAUAUUAUAUCCAAACGAGAUUUACAAAGUGUAUGGUUAUCUAACCAUCACAAAGGUCAAGUCUCUUAUGGUGACAACUGAUCUAGAUGUGAAUUAUGCAGAUGUCAGAAAUGAGUCACAAGUUCAACAUUCAAAAACCUUUGCUGGGUAAAUGACACUUUGCUGGGUAAAUGACUCUAAUAUUCCUCAGGAGUCAGCAGUAUCUCCAACUCCCUCGGGUCUGUAACCACUGGGUAAAUGACACUUGUUCUGUGUUGACUCGGUGUUGAAGUCUUAUCUAAUUGGAAGCAUAUUGGCAAAUCAUCUGCGAUGUUCCAUCUUCUAACCAUUCUUAUAGAGCAAUGUUCUCAGCUCAGUUUACUCGGUUCUUAUCCCUGGCUUUUGAAUUGUUUUCAUUAGAACCAUGUAUUUAUGCUUUUUGUCUGGUAACAACAGCUUGCUCACAGAAUCAAUCAUUCGUCUUUUGUA